rfam:Picea glauca, whole genome shotgun sequence.
CUCAAGGUUUUUCUAAAAACCAUAAAAAAUAGUCGUGCACGCGACG